rnacentral:rRNA from 1 species
AGUGAACGCUGGCGGUAGGCCUAACACAUGCAAGUCGAACGGCAGCACAGUAAGAGCUUGCUCUUACGGGUGGCGAGUGGCGGACGGGUGAGGAAUACAUCGGAAUCUACUUUUUCGUGGGGGAUAACGUAGGGAAACUUACGCUAAUACCGCAUACGACCUACGGGUGAAAGCAGGGGAUCUUCGGACCUUGCGCGAUUGAAUGAGCCGAUGUCGGAUUAGCUAGUUGGCGGGGUAAAGGCCCACCAAGGCGACGAUCCGUAGCUGGUCUGAGAGGAUGAGCAGCCACACUGGAACGGAGACACGGUCCAGACUACUACGGGAGGCAGCAGUGGGGAAUAUUGGACAAAGGGCGCAAGCCUGAUCCAGCCAUACCGCGUGGGUGAAGAAGGCCUUCGGGUUGUAAAGCCCUUUUGUUGGGAAAGAAAAGCAGCAGGUUAAUACCCCGCUGUUCUGACGGUACCCAAAGAAUAAGCACCGGCUAACUUCGUG